rnacentral:rRNA from 1 species
UGCCCGGUGCUGGAAGGUUAAGGGGAUCUGUUAGAGCAAUCGAAGCAGUGAACUUAAGCCCCAGUAAACGGCGGCCGUAACUAUAACGGUCCUAAGGUAGCGAAAUUCCUUGUCGGGUAAGUUCCGACCCGCACGAAAGGCGUAACGAUUUGGGCACUGUCUCAACAACAGACUCGGUGAAAUUGUAAUUCCGGUGAAGAUGCCGGAUACCUGCGACAGGACGGAAAGACCCCAUGGAGCUUUACUGUAGCUUGACAUUGGGUCUUGGUACUACAUGUACAGGAUAGGUGGGAGGCUUUGAAACCAGGACGCCAGUUUUGGCGGAGCCAUCCUUGGGAUACCACCCUUGUAGUACUGGGACUCUAACCAUAGGCCAUGAAUCUGGUCUUGGGACACUGUCAGGUGGGCAGUUUGACUGGGGCGGUCGCCUCCCAAAAGGUAACGGAGGCGCUCAAAGGUUCUCUCAGUACGGUCGGAAAUCGUACGUAGAGUGUAAAGGCAAAAGAGAGCUUGAUUGCAAGACAUACAGGUCGAGCAAGGAUGAAAAUCGGACUUAGUGAUCCGGUGGUUCUGCGUGGAAGGGCCAUCGCUCAACGGAUAAAAGCUACCCUGGGGAUAACAGGCUUAUCUCCCCCAAGAGUCCACAUCGACGGGGAGGUUUGGCACCUCGAUGUCGGCUCAUCACAUCCUGGGGCUGUAGUAGGUCCCAAGGGUUGGGCUGUUCGCCCAUUAAAGUGGUACGCGAGCUGGGUUCAGAACGUCGUGAGACAGUUCGGUCCCUAUCCGUCGCAGGCGUAGGAAAUUUGAGAAGACCUGUCCUUAGUACGAGAGGACCGGGAUGGACG